UACGGAGGAUGCAAGCGUUAUCCGGGUUUAUUGGGUUUAAAGGGUGCGCAGGUUGUUUGAUAAGUCAGUGGUGAAAGUCUGUCGCUUAACGGUAGGAUUGCCAUUGAUACUGUUGGACUUGAAUAUGGAUGAGGUAGGCGGAAUGUGUAGUGUAGCGGUGAAAUGCAUAGAUAUUACACACAACACCGAUUGCGAAGGCAGCUUACUAAUCCAUCAUUGACGCUGAGGCACGAAAGCGUGGGGAUCGAACGGGAUUAGA
rnacentral:rRNA from 1 species